rnacentral:rRNA from 1 species
UAGGGAAUCUUCGGCAAUGGACGAAAGUCUGACCGAGCAACGCCGCGCGAGUGAAGAAGGUUUUCGGAUCGUAAAACUCUGUUGUUAGAGAAGAACAAGGACGUUAGUAACUGAACGUCCCCUGACGGUAUCUAACCAGAAAGCCACGGCUAACUACGUGCCAGCAGCCGCGGUAAUACGUAGGUGGCAAGCGUUGUCCGGAUUUAUUGGGCGUAAAGCGAGCGCAGGCGGUUUCUUAAGUCUGAUGUGAAAGCCCCCGGCUCAACCGGGGAGGGUCAUUGGAAACUGGGAGACUUGAGUGCAGAAGAGGAGGGUGGAAUUCCAUGUGUAGCGGUGAAAUGCGUAGAUAUAUGGAGGAACACCAGUGGCGAAGGCGGCUCUCUGGUCUGUAACUGACGCUGAGGCUCGAAAGCGUGGGGAACAAACAGG